GACGAACCGUGCAAACGUUAUUCGGAAUCACUGGGCUUAAAGCGCGUGUAGGCGGGCCGGCACGUCGGUCGUUGAAAUCCCCCGGCUCAACCGGGGAAGCGGCGCCGAUACGACCGGCCUCGAGGGACGUAGGGGGGGCCGGAACUUCCGGUGGAGCGGUGAAAUGCGUUGAGAUCGGAAGGAACGCCCGUGGCGAAAGCGAGCCCCUGGACGUCUACUGACGCUGAGACGCGAAAGCCAGGGGAGCGAACGGG
rnacentral:rRNA from 1 species